AUCCGGCUGACGAGUUCCAAAUGGGACGAAACGCGUGUCCUGAAU
rnacentral:hammerhead_ribozyme from 1 species